AUACGAAGGGUGCAAGCGUUAAUCGGAAUUACUGGGCGUAAAGCGCGCGUAGGUGGUUUGUUAAGUUGAAUGUGAAAGCCCCGGGCUCAACCUGGGAACUGCAUCCAAAACUGGCAAGCUAGAGUAUGGCAGAGGGUGGUGGAAUUUCCUGUGUAGCGGUGAAAUGCGUAGAUAUAGGAAGGAACACCAGUGGCGAAGGCGACCACCUGGGCUAAUACUGACACUGAGGUGCGAAAGCGUGGGGAGC
rnacentral:rRNA from 1 species